rnacentral:lncRNA from 1 species
AUAUUUUCUUCUUAUAUAACAAUUUCAUGCAUAAUUGUCAUACAGAUUUCAUCUUCGAAGAAUAAAAAUAUCUUUCCUUGUCCAAGCCUUAAACAACUUAUGAAUGAACACUAUCUUGGUAUCAAAAUAAUCAACUUCAAACUAGAAGUAUUAUCCACAGUACCCGGUAUCAAGUUAAACUUCCAAAAUCACCUAUAUACUAAUACACAAAUAAUCAC